UACAGAGGGUGCAAGCGUUGUUCGGAAUUAUUGGGCGUAAAGGGCGCGUAGGCGGUUCGGCAAGUCUCUAGUGAAAUCUCUGGGCUCAACUCAGAGUCUGCUGGGGAAACUGCCGGGCUUGAGUGUGGGGGAGGAGAGUGGAAUUCCCGGUGUAGCGGUGAAAUGCGUAGAUAUCGGAAGGAACACCAGUGGCGAAAGCGGCUUCCUGGUCCAGCACCGACGUUCAGGCACGAAAGCGUGGGGAGCAAACAGG
rnacentral:rRNA from 1 species